UUACUGGGCGUAAAGCGGGCGCAGACGGUUACUUAAGCAGGAUGUGAAAUCCCCGGGCUCAACCUGGGAACUGCGUUCUGAACUGGGUGACUAGAGUGUGUCGGAGGGAGGUAGAAUUCCACGUGUAGCAGUGAAAUGCGUAGAGAUGUGGAGGAAUACCGAUGGCGAAGGCAGCCUCCUGGGAUAACACUGACGUUCAUGCCCGAAAGCGUGGGUAGCAAACAGGAUUAGAUACCCUGGUAGUCCACGCCCUAAACGAUGUCGAUUAGCUGUUGGGCAGCUUGACUGCUUAGUAGCGAAGCUAACGCGUGAAAUCGACCGCCUGGGGAGUACGGUCGCAAGAUUAAAACUCAAAGGAAUUGACGGGGACCCGCACAAGCGGUGGAUGAUGUGGAUUAAUUCGAUGCAACGCGAAGAACCUUACCUGGUCCUGACAUGUACGGAACCCUCCAGAGACGGAGGGGUGCCUUCGGGAGCCGUAACACAGGUGCUGCAUGGCUGUCGUCAGCUCGUGUCGUGAGAAG
rnacentral:rRNA from 1 species